rnacentral:rRNA from 1 species
AGUGAACGCUGGCGGUAGGCCUAACACAUGCAAGUCGAACGGCAGCACAGUAAGAGCUUGCUCUUACGGGUGGCGAGUGGCGGACGGGUGAGGAAUACAUCGGAAUCUACUUUUUCGUGGGGGAUAACGUAGGGAAACUUACGCUAAUACCGCAUACGACCUACGGGUGAAAGCAGGGGAUCUUCGGACCUUGCGCGAUUGAAUGAGCCGAUGUCGGAUUAGCUAGUUGGCGGGGUAAAGGCCCACCAAGGCGACGAUCCGUAGCUGGUCUGAGAGGAUGAUCAGACACACUGGAACUGAGACACGGUCCAGACUCCUACGGGAGGCAGCAGUGGGGAAUAUUGGACAAUGGGCGCAAGCCUGAUCCAGCCAUACCGCGUGGGUGAAGAAGGACUUCGGGUUGUAAAGCCCUUUUGUUGGGAAAGAAAAGCAGCAGGUUAAUACCCCGCUGUUCUGACGGUACCCAAAGAAUAAGCACCGGCUAACUUCGUG